rnacentral:rRNA from 1 species
GGUUAUUUCUCUAUUGCUCUAGGGUAGUAGAGAGGUAGCCAUCCGUCAGAGAACCUGGGCUGUCCUUCAGUGGUCACCCAGGGGAUCUGGCACUUUACUUUGAAAAAAUCAGAGUGUUCAAGGCAGGCAAUUGCCAUGAAUACACAAGCAUGGAAUAAUGGAAUAGGACUAUGAUCCAUUUUGUUGGUUAUUGGAUCUUAGUA